AGUGGAAUUGUUAGGUCAUAUGUUAACUCAGUUUAACAUUUGAGAAAUUGUAAAAAUAAAUUUCAAAGUCAUUGCAUCAUUUUACAUCUCUACUAGUAAU
rnacentral:pre_miRNA from 1 species